rnacentral:rRNA from 1 species
UGAAGCGGGAAAAGCUCAAAUUUAAAAUCUGGCAGCGUUUGGCUGUCCGAGUUGUAACCUAGAGAAGUGUUGCCCGUGCUAGACCAUGUAUAAGUCUCCUGGAACGGAGCGUCUCAGAGGGUGAGAAUCCCGUGCUUGACAUGGACUGCUAGUACAUUGUGGUACGCUCUCAAAGAGUUGAGUUGUUUGGGAAUGCAGCUCUAAAUGGGUGGUAAAUUCCAUCUAAAGCUAAAUAUUGGCGAGAGACCGAUAGCGAACAAGUACCGUGAGGGAAAGAUGAAAAGAACUUUGGAAAGAGAGUUAAACAGUACGUGAAAUUGUUGAAAGGGAAACGCUUGAAGUCAGUCGCGUCGGUCAGGGAUCAGCCCGGCUAAUUUGCUAGGUGUAUUUUCUGGUUUGACGG